CAGAGUUGCAAGACUCCCUAAACCAUUGUGAACCUACCUUCUACCGUUGCUUCGGCGGGGCGGGCCCAGCGCCCCCCCCCGGCCCCCCCGCGGGGCGCCCGCCGGAGGAUCACCCAAACUCUUGAUAAUUUAGUGGCCUCUCUGAGUCUUCUUUACUGAAUAAGUCA
rnacentral:misc_RNA from 1 species